rnacentral:rRNA from 1 species
AUUGAACGCUGGCGGCAUGCUUUACACAUGCAAGUCGAACGGUAACAGGGUGCUUGCACCGCUGACGAGUGGCGAACGGGUGAGUAAUGCGUCGGAACGUGCCGAGUAGUGGGGGAUAACGCAGCGAAAGUUGUGCUAAUACCGCAUACGUACUGAGGUAGAAAGUGGGGGACCUUCGGGCCUCACGCUAUUCGAGCGGCCGACGUCUGAUUAGCUAGUAGGUGAGGUAAAGGCUCACCUAGGCGACGAUCAGUAGCGGGUCUGAGAGGAUGAGCCGCCACGCGGGGACUGAGACAGGGCCCAGACUCCGACGGGAGGCAGCGGUGGGGAAUUUUGGACAAUGGGCGAAGGCCUGACUCAGCCAUGCCGCGUGUCUGAAGAAGGCCUUCGGGUUGUAAAGGACUUUUGUCAGGGAGGAAAUCCCUAGUGCUAAUAACACUGGGGGAUGACAGUACCUGAAGAAUAAGCACCGGCUAACUACGUGCCAGCCGCCGCCGUAA